UGCAGAAUCAAUUUUUACUUCAGAAGAUUGAGACAUCAGAUGGGAGAAAGGCUUGACUAUGUCGCCAGCAGCCUCAUGCCAAAUUCCUGAUUCCUGGAGGACAGAGCCCCCCUCCUGCUCCAAGGCCAGGAGAUGGCGCCACUGGACAGUGAGUCUGGGAUUCCUAGCACACACUUGUGAUUGCUGGUCCAGGAAAAAGAAGCAGGAAGGGCCAUUAGUACAAUCAGUCAGGAAAUUCUGCUUAAGUGCACAUUUCUCCCCAGGAGAGUCGGGUCACUGCACUGGGAGGAAGCCCGCCUGCCAAGGGCUGUGUCUGGAACCUGUUCAUCGCGCUCCACUCAGCACAGUGAGAUCGCCUCUUCUGUUACUCGGUCUCCAGGGGGCGGGACCUGGAGCCGUAUCCAAUCAGGGCCAUGGGGUGGGGUCGUGAGAACUGUGGAUCAGGCGCACUGCAGGGAGGUGGGUGCGCGGCAUCUUCACCCCUCUAAAUGCGGCUCCUACUCUGUAGCUGACAGACACCCACAGACGUGUCUGUAGCAUCCUCUGUCACACUGGGACCCGUACUGGCAGCAGGAGCCGUAGGGAGGACUGGGACACCUGGAAGCCAGGAAUUGGUGAGUGUGCGGGGCUGAGGGUCCCGAGACUAGGAUGGGACUGGUUGGAACCGGCAGGAAUAGACCGUGGCGGGACCCGGGCCUCUUCGUAGUUGACUCUGGGUUCUGAGACCCAAGUCCCCC
rnacentral:lncRNA from 1 species